CCUGUCGCCGGGUUUGGGGGAACAAAGGCCGCCCUCCUGGCCUGGGACCCUCAGGGCAAGAGAGUCCCCGGGUGUCCCCAGGCCUUGGAGACUGGACAGACGCGUGGGCGCUGUCUCCAGAGGGGAGGGGCCCAACGCCUCGGGAGUGGACUGAAGCUGGGGAAAAACACGAGCUUUUCCUGAGAAGAGGUCCCAGCCAAGGAAGGGGGGCUGCGAUGGGACUUGGGGGUGCCUGGUAGGCGAGAGAAAGGGCUCCUGGGUGGCCUUCAGAGAGGCCUUUGAAGAGUGCACCCAGGAGCACCCGCAACUGCAGAUGGAGGAGAAGCAGCCGCAGCCCACGUGGUCACAGCAUCCCCACAGGGAAGCCCUGGGCCGGGAGAGGCCGGGAGAGGCCGGGAGAGGCCGGGAGAGGCCGGGGCGCCCCCACCCCGUGACCCACUGGACGGCUGGUCCGCGGCGGGGGAGCUCCGAGACGCACCGGCAGCCGCUGCGCACAGAGGAGCAGAAGGGCAUAGACUAUGGAUGCCCUUCCAGACCAAAACACAAAUCCCCAACAAAGAGGAACUCUUGGCUGACCAGAAGUGUCCUCAAAGCUUCUCUUAGAAUCUGAAUUCAAAGCUGCCAUGAACUAACUCUGGCUGAACCUGAGACCGAGGCCCAGUGCCCAGAAAAAGCCUGCAACUCUGUAGGCCAGAUUCAUGGAGACUGCCAGGCAGCACGGAGCCCAGGGGACUGAGCCCUCAUUGUACGAUGGCAGUGACUGCCGGCUGAUGGGGCGUGGAGGAGGUUGGAGUCCAUGGCAACCCAGGGUGGGCUGGCUGCCGGCUGGGGAGGAGAUGUCAGGGUGAGGACAGGAAAACAAAUAAGCCCAGUGCUCCUUCUCCAUUACGAAUCACGAAGAUUCAAUCUUCUAUUGAGAGAAAAAUGCCCCACCAUCAUUCUGACUCCCUGCAGAGGAAUGUCUCUUGGGUCUUUAGCAUCUGUAACUGACAGCAGGGGAUUGUGACCUCAUGGUAAGUUUGGGACUUUAAAAUGUUAACUAGCUAACCCAUAUUGAAAGUGACAGGCACAGCGUGUCUGGUCCCCACCAAAUACUAAUUGCUGUGGUAGGAAAAAGUGUCAGGGUCAUACAAACUGUCAUCCUUUGGCAUGUGUUUCUAUUGUACACAAGCUGGUCACAUUCUUUGUCCCCACAUGUUUUAAAUCAAGGAAUAAAUAGAAAUAGAAUAUUUAGCUUCA
rnacentral:lncRNA from 13 species